UAGACGAUGUAGGAUUAACAAUAUAGGCUUCUUGGACCCUAGCACCGUACAUGAGAACACAGUCAAAUUACCAAGUACCGUUGACUACUUGUACAAAGCUUUCCUCUCCAUGCAGGAUAAAAGAUCCAUACUUCUUUCAUACAAUUGCUUUUAUCAUCAUGUCCUACUCGAUAUCAGCCUUAACGAUAGUCGAAUCGAGGUUUAUGACUCACGAAAGAGGCCAUUAUCACUAAUCCAGCCCGUCAUUGAUGUCCUCAACAAGGCCUUCGCUAAGUACCGUAAGAAAAGCAAAAUCCAUAGACCUUUUUGGGGAGACUUCACUAUAGAAGAGGCUAAAUACAUCCUCAAGCAGCCUCUGGGCAACGAUCACUG